GAUGAACGCUGGCGGCAUGCCUUACACAUGCAAGUCGAACGGUAACAGGGAGCUUGCUCCGCUGACGAGUGGCGAACGGGUGAGUAAUGUAUCGGAACGUACCUUUUAGUGGGGGAUAACGUAGCGAAAGUUACGCUAAUACCGCAUAUUCUCUGAGGAGGAAAGCAGGGGACCUUCGGGCCUUGCGCUAAUAGAGCGGCUGAUAUCAGAUUAGCUAGUUGGUGAGGUAAAGGCUCACCAAGGCGACGAUCUGUAGCGGGUCUGAGAGGAUGAUCCGCCACACUGGAACUGAGACACGGUCCAGACUCCUACGGGAGGCAGCAGUGGGGAAUUUUGGACAAUGGGGGCAACCCUGAUCCAGCCAUGCCGCGUGAGUGAAGAAGGCCUUCGGGUUGUAAAGCUCUUUCGGCCGGGAAAAAAUCGCAUGGGUUAAUACCCUGUGUGGAUGAUGGUACCGGAAUAAGAAGCACCGGCUAACUACGUGCCAGCAGCCGCCGUAA
rnacentral:rRNA from 1 species